rnacentral:rRNA from 1 species
GAUGAACGCUGGCGGCGUGCCUAAUACAUGCAAGUCGAGCGAACGGACGAGAAGCUUGCUUCUCUGAUGUUAGCGGCGGACGGGUGAGUAACACGUGGAUAACCUACCUAUAAGACUGGGAUAACUUCGGGAAACCGUAGCUAAUACCGGAUAAUAUUUUGAACCGCAUGGUUCAAAAGUGAAAGACGGUCUUGCUGUCACUUAUAGAUGGAUCCGCGCUGCAUUAGCUAGUUGGUAAGGUAACGGCUUACCAAGGCAACGAUGCAUAGCCGACCUGAUAGGGUGAUCGCCCACCCUGGAACUGGUACACGGUCCAGACUCCUACGGGAGGCAGCAGUAGGGAAUCUUCCGCAAUGGGCGCAAGCCUGACGGUGCAACGCCGCGUGAGUGAUGAAGGUCUUCGGAUCGUAAAACUCUGUUAUUAGGGAAGAACAUAUGUGUAAGUAACUGUGCACAUCUUGACGGUACCUAAUCAGACAGCCACGGCUAACUACGUG